rnacentral:lncRNA from 10 species
GAUUUGUUCCUGCCCCACCUUAGCUGAGUGAUUAACCCUGUGAAUUUCCUUCUCCUGGCUCAGAAGCUCCCCGACUGAGCACCUUGUGACCCCCGCCCCUGCCCACCAGAGAACAACCCCCUUUGACUGUAAUUUUCCAUUACCUUCCCAAAUCCUAUAAAACGGCCCCACCCCUAUCUCCCUUCGCUGACUCUCUUUUCGGACUCAGCCCGCCUGCACCCAGGUGAAAUAGACAGCCAUGUUGCUCACACAAAGCCUGUUUGCUGGUCUCUUCACACUGACUCGAGUGAAAUUUGGUGCCGUGACUAGGAUCGGGGGACCUCCCUUGGGAGAUCAAUCCCCCGUCCUCCUACACUUUGCUCUGUGAGAAAGAUCCACCUACAACCUCAGGUCCUCAGACCAACCAGCCCAAGAAACAUCUCACCAAUUUCAAAUCCGGUAAGCGGCCUCUUUUUACUCUUUUCUCCAGCUUCCCUCACUGUCCCUCAACCUCUUUCUCCUUUCAAUCUUGGUGCCACACUUCAAUCUCUCCCUUCUCUUAAUUUCAAUUCCUUUCAUUUUCUGGUAGAGACAAAGGAGACACGUUUUAUCCGUGGACCCAAAACUCCGGCGCCAGUCACGGACUGGGAAGGCAGCCUUCCCUUGGUGUUAAAUCACUGCAGGGACGCCUCUCUGAUUAUUCACCCAUGUUUCAAAGGUGUCAGACCACGCAGGGACGCCUGCCUUGGUCCUUCACCCUUAGUGGCAAGUCCUGCUUUUCUGGGGAAGGGGCAAGUACCCCAACCCCUUCUCUCUGUGUCUCUACCCCUUCUCUGCUUUUCUGGGGGAGGGGCAAGUACCCCUCAACCCCUUCUCCUUCACCCUUAGUGACAAGUCCUGCUUUUCUAGGAGGCAAGAACCCCCAAUCCCUUAUUUCCACACCCUGACCUCUUAUCUCUGUGCCCCAAUCCCUUAUUUCCACACCCCAACCUCUUAUCUCUGUGCCCCAAUCCCUUAUUUCCGUGCCCCAACCCCCCUUCCCACUUUUCUGGAGGAUAAGAACCCCCGAACCCCUUCCCUCCGUGUCUCUAUGCUCUCUUUUCUCUGGGUUUGCCUCCUUCACUAUGGGCAACCUUCCACCUACCAUUCCUCCUUCUUCUCCUUUAGCCUAUAUUCUUAAGAAUUUAAAACCUCUUCAACUCUCACCUGACCUAAAAUCUAAGCAUCUUAUUUUCUUCUGCAAUGCCACUUGACCCCAAUACAAACUUGACAGUAGUUCCAAAUAGCCAGAAAAUGGCACUUCCAAUUUUUCCAUCCUACAAGAUCUAAAUAAUUCUUUUCGUAAAAUGGGCAAAUGGUCUGAGGUGCCUGACAUCCAGGCAUUCUUUUACACAAUAGUCCCUUCCUAGUCUCUGUGCCCAGUGCAACUUCUCCCAAAUCUUCCUUCUUUCCCUCCUGCCUGUCCCCUCAGUCCCAACCCCAAGCAUCGCUGAGUCUUUCUAAUCUUCCUUUUCUACAGACCCAUCUGACCUCUCCCCUCCUUGCCAGGCCAAGCUACGUCCCAAUUCUUCCUCAGCCUCCGCUCCUCCACCCUGCAAUCUUUUUAUCACCUCCCCUCCUCACACCUGGUCCUGCUUACAGUUUCAUUCUGUGACUAGCCCUCCCCCACCUGCCCAGCAAUUUACUCUUAAAAAAGUGGCUGGAGCCAAAGGCAUAGUCAAGGUUAAUGCUCCUUUUUCUUUAUGCCAAAUCAGAAGUGUUUAGGCUCUUUUUCAUCAAAUAUAAAAACCCAGCCCAGUUCAUGGCUCGUUUGGCAGCAACCCUGAGACGCUUCACAGCCCUAGACCCUAAAAGGUCAAAAGGCCAUCUUAUUCUCAAUAUACAUUUUAUUACCCAAUCUGCUCCUAACAUUAAAUAAAACCCCAAAAAUUGGAAUCUGGUCCUCAAACCCCACAACAGGACUUAAUUAACCUCACCUUCAAGGUGUACAAUAAUAAAAAAAAGUUGCAAUUCCUUGCCUCCACUGUGAGACAAAGCCCAGCCACAUCUCCAGCACACAAGAACUUCCAAACCCCUGAACUGCAGCAGUCAGGCAUUCCUCCAGAACCUCCUCCCCCAGGAGCUUGCUACAAGUGCCAGAAAUCUGACCACCAGGCCAAGGACUGCCGGCAGCCCAGGAUUCCUCCUAAGCCACGUCCCAUCUGUGUGGGACCCCACUGCAAAUCGGACUGUUCAACUCACCUGGCAGCCACUCCCAGAGCCCCUGGAACUCUGGCCCAAGGCUCUCUGACUGACUCCUUCCCAGAUCUUCUCGGCUUAGCGGCUGAAGACUGACACUGCCCGAUUGCCUCGGAAGCCCCCUAGACCAUCAUGGACGCCGAGCUUCAGGUAACUCUCACAGUGGAAGGUAAGCCCGUCCCCUUCUUAAUCAAUAUGGAGGCUACCCACUCCACAUUACCUUCUUUUUAAGGGCCUAUUUCCGUUGCCUCCAUAACUGUUGUGGGUAUUGACGGCCAGGCUUCUAAACCUCUUAAAACUCCCCAACUCUGGUGCCAACUUAGACAAUACUCUUUUAAGCACUCCUUUUUAGUUAUCCCCACCUGCCCAGUUCCCUUAUUAGGCUGAGACACUUUAACUAAAUUAUCUGCUUCCCUGACUAUUCCUGGACUACAGCUAUAUCUCAUUGCCGCCCUUCUUCCCAAUCCAAAGCCUCCUUUGCAUCCUCCUCUUGUAUCUCCCCAACUUAACCCACAAGUAUAAGAUACCUCUACUCCCUCCUUGGUGACCGAUCAUGCACCCCUUACCAUCUCAUUAAAACCUAAUCACCCUUACCCCACUCAACGCCAAUAUCCCAUCCCACAGCACGCUUUAAAAAGAUUAAAGCCUGUUAUCACUGGCCUGCUACAGCACAGCCUUUUAAAGCCUAUAAACUCUCCUUACAAUUCACCCAUUUUACCUGUCCUAAAACCAGACAAGCCUUACAACUUAGUUCAGGAUCUAUGCCUUAUCAACCAAAUUGUUUUGCCUAUCCACCCCGUGGUGCCAAAACCAUAUACUCUCCUAUCCUCAAUCCCUGCCUCUACAACCCAUUAUUCUGUUCUAGAUCUCAAACAUGCUUUCUUUACUAUUCCUUUGCACCCUUAAUCCCAGCCUCUCUUCGCUUUCACUUGGACUGACCCUGACACCCAUCAAGCUCAGCAAAUUACCUAGGCUGUACUGCCGCAAACCUUCACAGACAGCCCCCAUUAUUUCAAUCAAGCCCAAAUUUCUUCCUCAUCUGUUACCUAUCUUGGCAUAAUUCUCAUAAAAACACACAUGCUCUCCCUGCCAUUCUUGUCAGACUGAUCUCUCAAACCCCAGCACCUUCUACAAAACAACAACUCCCUUCCUUCCUAGGCAUAGUUGGUGCAGUCAGAAUUCUUACACAAGAGCCAGGACCGCACCCUGUAGCCUUUCUGUCCAAACAACUUGACCUUACUGUUUUAGCCUAGCCCUCAUGUCUGCGUGCAGCGGCUGCCGCUGCUUUAAUACCGUUAGAGGCCCUAAAAAUCACAAACUAUGCUCAACUCACUCUCUACAUUUCUCAUAACUCCCAAAAUCUAUUUUCUUCCUCAUACCUGAUGCAUAUACUUUCUGCUCCCUGGCUCCUUCAGCUGUACUCACUCUUUAAGUCCUACAAUUACCAUUGUUCCUGGCCCGGACUUCAAUAAGGCCUCUCACAUUAUUCCUGAUACCACACCUGACCCCCAUGACUGUAUCUCUCUGAUCCACCUGAUAUUCACCAUUUCCCCAUAUUUCCUUCUUUCCUGUUCCCCACCCUGAUCACGCUUGAUUUAUUGAUGGCAGUUCCACCAGGCCUAAUCGCCACACACAAGCAAAGGCAGGCUAUGCUGUAGUACAAGCCACUAGCCCGCCUCUCAGAACCUCUCAUUUCCUUUCCAUCCUGGAAAUCUAUCCUCAAGGAAAUAACUUCUCAGUGUUCCAUCUGCUAUUCUACUACUCCUCAGGGAUUAUUCAGGCCCCCUCCCUUCCCUACACAUCAAGCUUGAGGAUUUGCCCCCACCCAGGACUGGCAAAUUAGCUUUACUCAACAUUCCGGAGCCAGGAAACUAAAAUACCUCUUAGGCUGAAUAGACACUUUCACUGAAUAAGUAAAGGCCUUUCCUACAGGGUCUGAGAAGGCCACCGCAGUCAUUUCUUCCCUUCUGUCAGACAUAAUUCCUCAGUUUAGCCUUCCCACCUCUAUACAGUCUGAUAACAGACCAGCCUUUAUUAGUCAAAUCAGCCAAGCAGUUUUUCAGGCCCUUAGUAUUCAGUGAAACCUUUACAUCCUUUACGGUCCUCCGUCUUCAAGAAAAGUAGAAUGGACUAAAGGUCUUUUAAAAACACACCUCACCAAGCUCAGCCACCAACUUAAAAAGGACUGGACAAUACUUUUACCACUUUCGCUUCUCAGAAUUCAGGCCUGUCCUCAGAAUGUUACAGGAUACAGCCCAUUUAAGCUCCUGUAUAGAUGCUCCUUUUUAUUAGGCCCCAGUCUCAUUCAACACCAGACCAACUUAGACUGUGCCCCAAAAAAACUUGUCAUCCCUACUAUCUUCUGUCUAGUCAUACUCCUAUUCACCAUUCUCAACUACUCAUACAUGCCCUGCUCUUGUUUACACUGCCGGUUUACACUGUUUCUCCAAGCCAUCACAGCUGAUAUCUCCUGGUGCUAUCCCCAAACUGCCACUCUAAACUCUUGAAGUAAAUAAAUAAUCUUUGCUGGCAAGGCUAGGCUGAACCUCCUUGGGCACUCUCUAAUCAGAUGUCCUAGGUCCUCCCAAUUCUUAGACCUUUUAUACCUGUUUUUCUCCUUCUCUUAUUCCAUUUAGUUUUUCAAUUCAUACAAAACCGUAUCCAGGCCAUCACCAAUCAUUCUAUACGACAAAUGUUUCUUCUAACAACCCCACAGUAUCACCCCUUACCGCAAGAUCUUUCUUCAGCUUAAUCUCUCCCACUCUAGGUUCCCACACCGCCCCUAAUCCCACUCAAAGCACCCCUGAGAAACAUCGCCCAUUCUCUCUCCAUACCACCUGCAAAAAUUUUCGCCGCCCCAACACUUCAACACUAUUUUGUUUUAUUUUUCUUAUUAAUAAAAGAAGGCAGGAAUGUCGGGCCUCUGAGCCCAAGCCAAGCCAUCGCAUCCCCUGUGACUUGCAUGUAUAUGCCCAGAUGGCCUGAAGUAACUGAAGAAUCACAAAAGAAGUAAAAAGGCCCUGCCCUGCCUUAACAGAUGACAUUCCACCAUUGUGAUUUGUUCCUGCCCCACCUUAGCUGAGUGAUUAACCCUGUGAAUUUCCUUCUCCUGGCUCAGAAGCUCCCCGACUGAGCACCUUGUGACCCCCGCCCCUGCCCACCAGAGAACAACCCCCUUUGACUGUAAUUUUCCAUUACCUUCCCAAAUCCUAUAAAAUGGCCCCACCCCAUGUCCCUUCGCUGACUCUCUUUUUGGACUCAGCCCGCCUGCACCCAGGUGAAAUAGACAGCCAUGUUGCUCACACAAAGCCUGUUUGCUGGUCUCUUCACACGGACUCGAGUGAAAAUACACACGCACACACACACAAAUGGACAUUUACCCCACUCCUGCUUUUGUGCUAUUGUGGUCAUGCAUAGUAUUUCUUUUUUGCUGUUGUUUUUCUUGUUGUUUUCACUGUCAUACAGGUAUUUAUGAUGGAAACAGAAUCAGAGUCUGACCUUCCUGACUUGAAGUACAAGGUUUUUGGGGUUUUUCAUUCGUGUUUUAUGUGUUUUUUAAAAAAUUAUUUGUGUUUUUAAUCGACAAAUAAAAACUGUAUACACAUAUGCUUCCUGAUUUAUAAUGGGGAUACAUCCCAAGAAACCUACUGUAAGUUGAAAAUAAUGUAAGUCAAACAUGCACUUAGUAAACCUAGCUUACCAAACAUCAUAGCUUAACCUAGCCUAGGUUAAACAUUCGUGGGACACUUACAUUAGUCUACAGUUAGGCAAAAUCAUCUAAUACAUAGCCUACUUUCUAAUAAAGUUAUUAGAAAGGAUUUUUAUUCAAAAAUCAAAAUAUGGUUUCUACUUAAUGUUUAUUGCUUUCACAUCAUCGUAAAGUGGAAAAAUAUAGGUCAAGCCAUCGUAAGUCAAGGAAUGUUGGUAUAUCGUAAUGGUGUACAUGAUAUUUUGAAAUAUGUAUACUUUAAUAGCUAUAGUGAGCUAAUUAACAUAUGAAUUGCCUCACAUUCUUAUCAUUUAUUUGUGGUGAGUAGAUAUAAAAUCUACUCUUUUAGCAAUUUUUAAGUAUGCAAUACACUAUUGGAAGGGUCUCUGGCUAAGUUAGUUUUCUUUCUGAACGGACAUUUCUCACUAACAAGUGCAGAAAUUCCCUGUGAACAGGGGAAGCGGUAAUGCUGACAACAAAACUCAGAUGUAAAUUUAGAAUAAAAAAGGGCUCAUGGUUGACUGCUUUGGGCUAUACUUCCAUAAUCUCUCAAAAAAAAAGUAAGGUAUUGUCCUCUGGAGUAUUUUGAUGGAAAAUUUUAGGAAGACUUGAUAAUCUGUAAAAGUUGUAGGCUUGAGAUCCUAAAAGAUCUGUAUCUAAAUUCAUGUAUUCUACAGAAGUUUACUUAAUUACUCCAGGUUUAUUUUUCCUUACUUGUGAGGUAAAUGUUGUAAUACACAUCUACCUCACAAAGGUGUUGUGAGAAUUCAAUGAUAUGUUAUUUAUAAAGAAAGUAUUGAUUACCUUCCUUCUGUCCCAGUGAUAGAUCACAACAAGAGAUCAUGAAGAGGGCAUGGCCGCCAUGUCAUUCUGGAGAGAGACAGAGUAAAACAAAGAAGACAGAGUCUUGUUCUGCAACCCAGGCUGGAGUGGAGGGCAGUGGUGUGAUCUCGGCUCACUUCAACCUCCGCCUCUUAGGUUCAAGUGAUUCUCCUGCCUCAGCCUCCCGAGUAGCUGGGACUACAGCAGCCUCUCUACAAGUCUCCUAACUUAACCUGAUGGGAAAACACUUCCUACCACUAACAGCAUCUACUUGAUUACUGAUACUUUGAUCAUGGAGUUUGGGCAUGCCACUUGAUAGAAAUUUGAAGAGCAAUUAUAUUUUUCAAAAAGAGUUUUGAAUAAUGUUAAGAUAGAUUGCAACAUGACUAUCAAUUCUUCCCUUCCCAUCAAAGGAGAGAGUCCGUUUAUCCAGCCUUUGAAUCUUGAUUAUUCAUGUGACUUGCUUCACCCAAUGUAACAUUAAUAAGCACAAUACAAGCAGAGGCUUGCCAAGAACUUGGUUUGUUUCUAAUGCUUAGAAGAAGAAUGGUGUAUGCCAUAUUUCUGCAUUUAGAACUCACGUGGAGACAUGUGUGGCCCAAUUGCUUCUCUUUCAUCUCAGGCAAUAACCAGACACGGGACUGAGGCCAUCCAUGACCAGCCAGCCCUAGCCAACACACAACACACAAGCUGAUCACAGAUGCAUGAGUAAGCCUGAGACCAGCCAAGACCAGCCUAGAAUAGAACUGCUCAGCAGCAAUAAAAACUAAAUAAAUUGUUACCUUAAGCUACUUUUAGAGCUAUUUGGAAGUGUAUUUUUGUGCAGCUAACAUUUACUAGCAGAUAAAAUGGUGAUUGUUUAUCUCUGUUUUAUUGAUGUUUUAAGGAAAUUGUUUCUAUUAAAAGGAAAUAUCUGGUCUUUGUCACGUUAAAUCAGGUUUAGCCUGAAGUUGUCUCCUUAAAUUUGCGGCACAACUCCCACCCUGCAAUACUUCAAAUUGUUUCACCUUUUUUGACAGAACCAAGGUAUAUCUUAAAUGUACUUGAUUGAUGUCUCAUGUCUCCCUAAAAUGUAUAAAACCAAACUGUGCUCUGACUACCUUGGGUACAUGUUCUGAGGGUCUCCUGAAGGCUGUGUCACAGGCCAUGGUCUUUCAUAUUUGGCUUAAAACAAAUCUCUUCAAAUAUUUUAUGUAGUUUGACUCUUUUCCUCAAUAGAACUCAUCAUUUAACCAGUUAAGUAUUUUGAGUUAGUUUGGGAUUAAACACGAGAGUUUUGACAGGGAGCUGAAACAAUAGUAGUUUCAUCAAAAGUUGAUUCUUGGUGCAUGUAAUUUUCUAUUACAGUGAACACAGAUAAUAAUGAUGCAUAUGUCUUUACCUAGAUUAGAGAAAGGAAGAGAAAAAAUAAAAAUUUUGGAAAUGAGAUAAAAAGAUAUUGAUCUCACUGAUGUUUCUGAAUCUAAGACUGAACUCAAUUAUUAGUUGUAUUUACUGCUUAUUAGAUUUACUAAGAAAGUUCUUUAAGGUACUUACAGCCCUAAAAUUAUUUGCAAUAUUCAAUAGCAAGGGACUUAAAUACAGUCCUGAUUACUCCAUCACAAAAUGCCAAAAACAAUUAGGAUCUUAAAGGAACUACCCAAAUAGGUUUAAGAUAUCACUCAGGCCAUAAAAAUGUUUUUAAAAUUCACAUCACAAAAUAGCCAAAUGACAUAUCAGAAACAAAAGCAAAAAAGUCAUCCUAAUUCAAGGCAAUUACUUUAGCAAUUCAAAAUAAAAUGUUAAAAGUGACCAAAAAACAAAUGCAAAAUAUUUUAAUGACUUUAAAUGGCUGUAUAAUUUCCUCAUCACUUCACUUGGCAGAGUUAAGAUGGCAUUUAACCUAAGUUCACAUCAUUAAAAAAAACACUGCACCAUGAUGCUUUUCUUAAUAUGCAUUCUCAAAUUAGCAUACAGAGAAAAAUGAAACUAUAGUAGAGACGUAAAUUUAAUCCCUAUUUAGGUCACUAGGCAUUUAUUAGCCCCACCACAGGUUAAUACACUUGCAUUUGCAUCUGUUUCUAAAUGCUAAUUAUCUGACCUCAGAACACUCACUUAUGGGCUUCAUUUAUUGAAAAACAAAUCCCUAUGAUUUGAUCGUAGAGUAACUUUUAAUGUCUAACUUUACGUAGUAUAUUACAGUUUUCAAAACAUUUUUAUAAAAAGUAUUUUGUUUAUUUACAGCAACUAUAUAUCAUAGAUAUUAAUGUGUAUAUUUUGCAUUUAAGCAAGUUGGAGUUCGUAAGGUUGAAUUACUUGAAAUGUACAAAUAGAUAGUAGUGAAUAUUUAAAGUACAUUUUUAAAAAUAUGACCCAGAAAAAUAGGUGGCAUUUAAGAAAUAUAAGCAUGGUAUCUAUCUUACAUGUAUAUUAGGAGUGGACAGUUUUCUAAGAUUAGAAGCAAACAGUUGUCAAGCAAGGGUUCUAAUUUUUGUAAGUCUUGUGGGAAAGAAAGAUAAUAGAGGGUUUCAUUGCAAAGAUAUAAAACUACUCUAGAUAAUUUAAGCAAAAACUAAUCUAAUAAAUUGGGUUUUCCAAAUUAUUGAAACACCUUGAGAACUAGUGCCUGGGUAGGCCUGGAGAAAUGACUCCAGGAACAGCAUUACAGAACUCACCUGCCCAGUGGUAACAGUGCCCAGAUUGCUCUUCUCCAUUAUCCAGCCAGAGUUCCAGAUCAGCCUGAAUACUUCACCUCUGGGAAGACUUUGCAGAACCUCCAGAUUUAUGCCACCUCUAUAACCUGUGUAAUAUUAUUACAAUGCAUAUUAUGUUCUAUUUCACUUACAGUCAGCCCUCCUUAUCUGUGGGUUCCACAAACAUGGAUUCAACCCACAGUAAAAUGAAAAUAUUUGGGGAAAAAAUUAAUGUUUGAGUCUGUAUUGAACACGUAGACUUUUUCUUGUCACUGUUCCCUAAACAAUACAGUAUAACAACUAUUUACAUAGUAUUUACAUUAUAUUGGGCAUUAUAAGUAAUUAAAGAUGAUUUAAGUAUAUGGAAAGAUGUAUAUAGGUUAUAUGCAAGUACUGUGCCAUUUUAUAUAAAGCACUUGAACAUCACAGAUUUUGGUAUCAAUGAGGGGUGCUGAAACCAAUUGCCCAUGGAUACCAAGAGACAGCUAUAUUUGUUUCAAUGUGUACCUCUCCUUCUAAACUCAGUUCUUAAGCAUAUAGUAUCUUUAUAGCUAUACACCUAGUGUCUAUCAGACCCUAAACUAUGGUAGGCCCUCAAUACAUUUUAUUGUUAUAGGUAGAUAGAUAGGCAUGAGUAGGGCAGGAGAGGGCUCUCCCUCCACCCACUAGAAAUGUCAAGUGAUGUUUUAAAAAUUGUCACACUGCCUCUCAGAAAAUGAUAAUUCAGCAACCGGGGAGAGACAAUCUUCUGAUGGUCCACACCUAUUAACAUUAAAGUGUUAUUAAAGGCAGACCCCAGAAAGAAGAAACUUACUGGGCAUGCACAUUAAGAGAUAAAAACGGCAAAAUAUUAUCUUCCACGUACCCACAACUGGAAAAAAGGAAGAAAGCUUCAGGUGGGCAUAUGUACUCUUCCUAAACACACUGCGCAUGCUCACUUCCCAACUGUAGAGAGGGCUCUGCACAUACGGGAAGAAUCUCGGGAAAGAGGUGAACCUAUAAAAGGCCAAGAAUCAUGGUUGAACGGGACAUUUGACCUUCUCUCUUAAACCUUCAUGUGCCUGCUUGGGUCUCUUCCAACUGCACCUUCCUUUCUUUCCUGUUCUAAGGCCUUUUUAAAUAAACUUCCACUCAUGCUCUG